GUGGGGAAUAUUGGACAAUGGGCGAAAGCCUGAUCCAGCCAUGCCGCGUGUGUGAAGAAGGUCUUCGGAUUGUAAAGCACUUUAAGUUGGGAGGAAGGGCAGUAAGUUAAUACCUUGCUGUUUUGACGUUACCGACAGAAUAAGCACCGGCUAACUUCGUGCCAGCAGCCGCGGUAAUACGAAGGGUGCAAGCGUUAAUCGGAAUUACUGGGCGUAAAGCGCGCGUAGGUGGUUUUGUAAGUUGGAGGUGAAAUCCCCGGGCUCAACCUGGGAACUGCCUCCAAAACUGCAUGACUAGAGUACGGUAGAGGGUAGUGGAAUUUCCUGUGUAGCUGUGAAAUGCGUAGAUAUAGGAAGGAACACCAGUGGCGAAGGCGACUACCUGGACUGAUACUGACACUGAGGUGCGAAAGCGUGGGGAGCAAACAGGAUUAGAUACCCGUGUAGUCC
rnacentral:rRNA from 1 species